rnacentral:tRNA from 1 species
AAGAAAGUGACAGAGUGGUUAUGUGGCCGGCUUGAAACCGGUAUAAGGGGGUUCAAUUCCCUCCUUUCUCG